rnacentral:lncRNA from 1 species
GAAAAACCUGCCUCCCAGUCUGCCCUCUCUCCGUCUGUCUGUGCUUGUUUUUCUACGUUUAUCCCUGUCGCUUUCCCCACUUAUUCUGCAGGCAUGGCGCGCCCCCAGUGCCGGCUUGGUGCCAGGGCUGGGAGAUCCGGGGGUGAAUCGUGAGCCCGGCCCACAGCGAGCUUGCAGUCUAGAGAUCAAGGCAGUCUUGUCCACAACCUGCUGUCACAUAAAGCAAAUGUAGCUGGUGUAGCACCAGGGGCUGCAAUCAAGUGCGGUGGGGCGGCAAUAGUGACCACGGAAAUAAUCAGAAUUGCUUUUAAUUCAGCUCCUACUAUAUUCCCGCAUCCCUGAGCCUCACAAUCAUCCUCCAAGGGGACACUCUUUAGGAGCCUGGCGGUGUCACUGACCCACAAGGAAAGGAGCGUUACCAUCAGUGUCGGAAUGGAUGACAUCAACAAACUGCGCAUCACUGGGAUCUAAUCUGUCUUGGAAAUGUUAAGGAAAUGAUACAGGCUUCCUAUAUCUUUUUCCUUAAAAACGACUCUAUGGACUUAAGUUCACCGAAGGAAGUGGAAUGAUGACAUGCAAAAUGACAACACAACUAAUUCUAUUUUUUAAGCAGUUAAGAAAACCAGUUUGUAAAUAACCUACCUGAUCUUGACAAGCACAACAAACUGAUGAAUAAGUAGAAUCUCAACAUAUGGAAACUGGAGAGAUCGUGUGUCACAUUCACAAGAAUGAUUUACUUCGCAGAGGCUUAAGAGUUUCCACUGUGGGAUUUUGCUCACAGUGAGCUCAGACGACUCAGAGGUGUGGUGACAACAGGAAGUUCCCUAGGGACUGACUGCAGGCAGUCCCAACCCUUUCAGGAUCUUUGACUCCUCCUCUUUUCAAUAAAAGGUCACUCAUUGUCUACUUU